rnacentral:tRNA from 1 species
CAAUUGAUAUCUUAAAUUAAAGAAUUGAUCUUUUAAGUCAAAAUAUGAUAAAUUUUAUCUCAAUUGA